AUUGACUAUAAGUAAAUAUAAUAAAAUUCUCAAAAAUAAAAUAUAUUUCUAAAACAUAAGAUAAUUCUUAAAUAUGUUGUGUUUUUAUCUGAAUUAAUAUUUUUUAUUAUAAAAUAUAAAAUAUAAAGUUUAAUUUUUGAUUUAUCUUUUUAAAAAUAUACUUAAUAAUUUAUUAUGUUGUUUUGAUUUAAUAUUUAUAAAAAGAUAAAUAUCUAUAACAACACUAUGCACGUAUGUGCAGACAGAACACCUAGUAAUAAAGUAUUCAAAAUUAUAUUUUUAAUUUGAUAACAAAAUUUUAUUUUUAAAUGAUUAUUAUUUAAUUAUGCAUUUUCUAUUUUAAAUUUUGUAAUUUUAUGAAUAAAAUUUUUAUUUUCAGAUAAGGAUACAACAUACAUAAAAUUCUUCAUUCGACUGGUGACCAUUCUGGAAACAAGAGGAACGAAUAGAAAAUGAACGUAGAGGAAUUGAAUUACAGGAAUGAAAAGGAAUGGUUGUUCCAUCCCAUAUUUAAUAAGGAAUUAAUUUGUUCUUUUGUCUACAAAAAAAAGGAAAGGUACGGAAUGAGAAGAAAAAAUUAUUCUUUAUGAAUGGUGAUUUUUUUAAAGAAUGUUCGGGAAAACAUUUGUUCCUUGUCGUUGUUUACAUAGGUUUAUGUUAAUGUUAAUUCUUUUUUUUUAACGCUGAUUUAUUACGAUCUUACAAUUAUGAUAUAUGAAAGAUUACAUAGACGAUUCGACAACCACUUUUAGUUUAUGUUAAUGUUAAUGUUAAUUCUAUAAUAGGUUAUACAUAUAUAAGAUUCAUUAAAGGUAACAAUCACUUUUAGUUUUAAAAUAACUUUUAAAGCCCGAGUUUAUAGCGAAAUAAAUAAUCAUCCGCACAUUAAUGAAUAAGAUGAGACGCAAAGAACCCUAGAGUUAUAGAUUCCCAUUAGUCAUCCACCAUUGCCGCCACCUCCGUUCUGGCCAUGGCGUCACCGUCUCCAUCUUCAACCACCGUCGCCAGUAAAAGAACUAAAUCUAAGAGUGAGGAAGAGGCAAUAAAUACGAGUAUCUUAGAUCUUCCAUCCAUUCUCUUGGAAGUAAUAAUGUCUCGUCUUGUCUUAAAAGACAACAUAUGUGCAUCAGCUGUUUGCAAGUCAUGGUGUCAAGCUGCACUUUCUGUACGGGUAGAGGAAAAGCAUCCUUGGCUUCUGUGCUUUGAUAAUCGUUGCAGUUUGUUUGAACUACGUGAUCCGGUACGAUCGAAAUUGUACACUUUGCAUCUGCCAGAGCUGACUGAAUCAGCCGUGUGGUACAUAAAAGACGGUUGGUUAAGGACAUGUUUUUCUUCAACCCGUUUUCUCGGGAGCUCGUAAGCUUGCCUAAGUUCUCGUUGCCAUUCCAGGCAGUCGCGUUCUCUAGUCCUCCAACAUCGGAUAACUGUGUGUUGGUAGCGUUAGACUUUGUUACAUCAGUUCAAGAGAGAAGGAUAGUUAUCAGCACAUGCCAUCCUGGAGCAACUGAGUGGAUCACCGAGGCCUUUCCUACUGUUUAACCGUUUUAUAGGCAUAGCAAAAUUGUCUAUCUCAAUGAACAAUUUUAUUGCUUUACCAUAGGAGGAGGCUACUUGUAUUCCUUUCACCCAUCUUCCCGGACAUGGGUUUGUCAUCAAGAUGCAUAUGUGUAUCAUCAACUACGAGGUGAAUGGGACAAGAGAGAAAUUUUCUUGGCAGAGAGAAAAGGAGAGCUCUUUCUCAUGUUUGCAUGCAGUAAUUAAGGAGAAGCCACUAGUGUUUAAACUAGGCUCUUUGCAAUGGGAGGAGGUGACUAGUAAUGAGCUUGAUGGUUUCACAACCUUCUUCAGUUCUUAUAACUCUGAGUUGAGAAGUAAUAUCCCAUUGAUGAGGAACAACCUCUGCUUCCCAUGGUUUGGUGACAAGCGCAAGCGUUGUGUAUCCUACUUUUUUGAUAAAAGCAGGUUUAAUCUGCCUAAUGCAAGUCUUAACUGGUUAGAACUUAUCCCUCGUCACAAGAGCCUCUGGAUUGUUCCGCCGAGUAACGUUUUUGACUAUUUGUGAGAGCUUUGCAAGAAGAUUGAUUAGUUUUAUCUCUUCAGAUAGACAAGUAGCCUUUAUUUCCCCA